UGGAGUGUGUCCAAAGAAAGGCAAUGGAGCUGGGGAAAGGUCUGGAGCACAAGUAUGAUGAGAAGCAGCUGAAGGAGCUGGAGGUGUUUAGCCUGAAGUAAAGGAGGCUUAGGGGAUGCCUCAUUACUUUCUACAACUGCCUGAAUGAGGCUGAAUUGAGGUUGGCCUCUUUAAUCAAUGACUGAUAGGAUGAGAAGAAAUGGCCUCAAGUUGCACCAGGGAAGAUUAAGGUUGGAUAUUAGGGAAAGAUUCUUCACAGAAAAUUUGUCAAGCUCUGGAACAGGAUGUUCAGGACAGUGGUAGAGCCAUCACCUUUGGAGACACACAGAAGUCAAAGGAAUUGUCUGAGGCUAAAAUGAAAUCAAUAUUAGAGUACCAUUCAGAGUGUUUUCAUGAUCGUCAUCCAAAGGUCAAACUUUUUAUGCCAUUGUACCUGGAGACAGAAACAAAGAUAUCUAAGCUUUACUUAUUUUUACCUGACGCUGAAAUAGAAAUGCCAUGUCUACAAAUCUCAGAUGUUCCAGUACCAAAUAGCUGACAAAUAAGGAGGAUAGAAAAGAAAAAAGAAAAAGCAAAAAUAAAGAGGAUAAC